rnacentral:lncRNA from 1 species
AAGGUAUGAUACUAUGAUCAGAUAAGCCUCAAAUCACGAUAUACCCAAAAAUGCAUGGAAUGGAUACACGCAUAUAUGGGGCUACCUCGCAUCGCUUUUGAAAUUGGAUUGGUCUACAAAACUAUUUUAGGACUUGUCUCUAAUACACCUCAGGGGCAUCUAGAUUAUUUUCACUCAAUCGUAUGAGUGGUGAGCUUAGCUUUUCAAUAUCUAUAAGUGGGGCGAUUCCCAACAUGCCUGGGUGAUAUCAUACCGAUCUUGCCAGCCCUGUGGUGGGGUAAAGAACCCAUCAUGUCCCUUACUAUUGUGGUAGGGUAAAGAACGCAUCAUAUCCCUUAUUCCUUUGAGUGGUAAUUGUGUAAUAGGAAUUGAUGAAUAUUUUACCUCAAACCCUAGUUUCUUAGGUUCGUAAAUGCCUGGGGAAUGAAAGUGUGUGUGAAUGAAGUUGAUACGUGUUGCAUGAAAGCUAGAAAAUAAAACAUCCUAUAUAAAUUGAAAAUGCACUAAAACUGUACUCACAAUAAAAGUAAAACAAAACUGAAAAAUAAGUCCAUGGAGACUGCAUCAGGCCAACCCGCAUAUUGCAGAAAUGCGGGCUUGGCAAUAAAUAUAUUUUUUUUAAAAUAAUUUAAUCAUAAUUUUUGGAGAAUAUAUAAUCUUUAACAUGGAGAUCAUGAAUAUGAAAAAAAAAUUGAAAACUAGAAAUAAUAAUUAUAUUAAAAAGACAUUUGGACCUAUAGUUACACUUGUUUUUAGAUGGACCACCUACUUGCAUCCAUCUUUAAGAUGGAUGCUUCUCAGGACCUCAUAUUGUAGAAAUUGACAGUCCAUCCCGCAUGAAACAAUUUUUCUUUUGAAAAGGUAUAUUUGGUAAGUGCUUCGAGGCAAAUGGCACUAUGGUGGCUUGGCUAAACCAGGAGCUCUCAACCCAUCUGUAGUGCUUGACCCACCCUAAAGUGUGAAGCCAUCUGCAAUUUUUGCUCGUCUUCUGCUGUUUGGUCACUUUGCAAGACUGAGCAACCUCUUUUGAUUCCAGGAACGAUUUCCUAAUUUUGUAUUCAGUAUAUAGUGUACUCCAAUUUGUACAAGGAACACUUUAAAUACCUAUUUAAGGACAAAGUUUCUCUGAGUUCCCCACCUCACCUAUUUUAAUGAGUCCUCUCUCCAAAAUCUAAUUAAAAUAUGGAUUUUGGAUCUAAAAUUUUAAAGAUUGAAAAUCUAAAACAUGAUAACUAUGAAUCUGAAAAAAUAAAUUUAAAAAAAAAAAGAGAUUUUUUUUAAUAUAGAUUGAACACCAUUAGUUUUGAAUCUAGGUGGCCCACCGUUUAUUUACAUCCAUGUACACAACGCACCAAUUACUUUUCCCCUAUAUGAUACAGUUGCCUGUGUUAAAAAAAACAGUAAAAAAAAAGCAGAAUAUCAAAGAAUAUGGAGGAUCAGAAAAUGAGAGAGAUAAUGGAAAUUAAACUGAAAAUUUUGGCAUUGAAGGAAAAGAACUGAAAUGUACAAUGAGACCCUAAAAGAAUUACAGAAGCCUUUCAUUAUCCUGGUGCUGGUUUUACAGAUGU